AUGACGUUGAUAGGGUGCAGGUGUAAAGACGGUGACGUCAAAGCCGAGCACUACUAAUUGUCCGAGAUCUUUCG
rnacentral:rRNA from 1 species